AUACGGAGGGUGCAAGCGUUACUCGGAAUCACUGGGCGUAAAGCGCGCGCAGGCGGUCUUUUAAGUCGGAUGUGAAAGCCUACGGCUCAACCGUAGAACUGCAUCCAAAACUAUUAGACUAGAGUGUGGGAGAGGAAGAUGGAAUUAGUUGUGUAGGGGUAAAAUCCGUAGAGAUAACUAGGAAUACCAAAAGCGAAGGCAAUCUUCUGGAACACUACUGACGCUGAGGCGCGAAAGCGUGGGGAGCAAACAGGAUUAGAAACCCCGGUAGUCC
rnacentral:rRNA from 1 species